GGACGAACGCUGGCGGCGUGCCUAAUACAUGCAAGUAGAACGCUGAAGGAGGAGCUUGCUUCUCUGGAUGAGUUGCGAACGGGUGAGUAACGCGUAGGUAACCUGCCUGGUAGCGGGGGAUAACUAUUGGAAACGAUAGCUAAUACCGCAUAAGAGUAGAUGUUGCAUGACAUUUGCUUAAAAGGUGAAAUUGCAUCACUACCAGAUGGACCUGCGUUGUAUUAGCUAGUUGGUGGGGUAACGGCUCACCAAGGCGACGAUACAUAGCCGACCUGAGAGGGUGAUCGGCCACACUGGGACUGAGACACGGCCCAGACUCCUACGGGAGGCAGCAGUAGGGAAUCUUCGGCAAUGGACGGAAGUCUGACCGAGCAACGCCGCGUGAGUGAAGAAGGUUUUCGGAUCGUAAAGCUCUGUUGUAAGAGAAGAACGAGUGUGAGAGUGGAAAGUUCACACUGUGACGGUAUCUUACCAGAAAGGGACGGCUAACUACGUG
rnacentral:rRNA from 1 species